rnacentral:snoRNA from 1 species
AACCCAUGGUGAGGGCAUCUUCUCAAGAGGUCCUUGUAUCUCUCCUAUGCAUCAUAGAGUGUCUCUAGAUCCAUCUGCUCAAAAGAAGAGAUAUCAUUCCUCAAUUU